AUGUAGUGAGGAGACGAGCUUGGGUAUUUCGCUUGGGUAGUCUACACCCCAGAGGUAUCAACAUUGACCUCUAAUUUUAGAUAGCCCUUGUCUUGUCCUUCCUCUCCUUCCCAGCUCUCCUUCCAGUCCUACUGUCACUGCCUCUUCCUAUCUCUCCUCCUCCUCCCCUCCCCUCCCCCCUCCCCCCCCCCCCACAUCAGUCUGAAGAAGUGUCUCGACCCAUUUAUGGCAAAAUCCUGGCUCUACUCAUAAAUCUCAGCCAGAGCACCUGCAAUCUCCUCUGUAGCUCCCCAGUGUCUUUGGAUAUAUCUGAUCGGGCCUGAGUGAUUUGUCUUCCUUCAAACGCGUUAGGACCUUCAGCAGCUCCUCGGCUGUAAGACUGACUGUUGUCAGGACACUUUCAUUGACUGCUUCAAGUUCCCAGGUCCUCAUGUCUUUCUCCACAGUAAAAACAGAGGAGAAAUACUCAUUGAAAACCUUGCCCACCCCGUGUGACUCCACAGAUUGGACCACUUUAAUUCCUGUAGGGCCCCCAUUCUCUGUCUAGUUACCCUUUUUCCCUUAGUAAAAUCUCUUAAGAUUAUCCUUAAUAUAAUCUGACCGAGAUAUCUCCUGUCCCCUUUUUGCACCAAUUUGCCUUUUUUAGUGUACUCCUCGGUUUUUUAAAUUCCUCCACGGAUAUACGAUCCCAGCUGCCUAUACCUGCUACAUGCCUCCUUCUUAUUCUUGACGAGAGCUUCAAUUUCUCCUCAUCCACGUUUCCUUGCACCCACCUACCUUGCCCUUUACUCUACCAAGAACAUGCAUAUCCUCGACUCUUGUCAGCACACCUUUGAAAACAUCCAAUUUUCCAGGCCUUCCUUUUCUGCUACUAUCAACUUGAAUGAGUUCCCGUCUAAUACCGUCAAUAAUCCUCAUUGGAAAUCAAGGGAUGUGGAGCUAGUGGAGUAAACUGCCACUAAGGAGAAAGGUCUCCCAUGAUUUAUUGAAUGGCAGAGCAAGCAUGAGAUGCCAAAUAUUUUUAUUUUAUUUUCCUAAUUGCCAGUGACUACUUUAUUUUGCAUCUGCAAUGAAGUGAUGUUUUGUCUAUCAUUAAUUGUUGCUGGAAGUCACAACUUCUAUUGUUUUUUCACCAGUAUUACUAUAUCGGGUGAGUCAUUCCUUUAAGUGCAUUAAUUUUGGUGAGUGUGCAAAUUUUGUAUGGAUUCUUCCUCUUGACAUUGGGUUUAUGAGAAUGAUCCGAGGGAUGAGGGGUUUUAUCAUUGAAACUUACUGAAUAAUGAAAGGCCUAGAUAGAGUGGGAGAGGAUGUUUCUACAAGUGGGAGAGUGAAGGACCAAAGGGCAAGCUCAGCCUUUAGAAAGGGAAUGAGGAGGAAUGUUUUGAGCCAGACAGUGGUGAAUCUGUGGAAGCCAAACAUUUGGGUAUUUUUAAAGCAGAGAUUUAUAGGUUCUUGAUAAGUAAGGGUGUUAAAGGUUAUGGGGAGAUGGCAGAAGAAUGGGGUUGAGAGGGAAAAUUAGAUCAGCCAUGAUUGAAUGGCAAGUAGACUCGAUGGUCUAAAUGGACUAAUUUUGCUCCCAUGUCUUGUGGUCUUUGAAUGAUCUUUGAAAUAAAGGUUUAAGCGUUUUCCAGAAAA